UCCUAGCUGUAAACGAUCUGUACUAGUCCGUGGGAACUUCCACAUUUUCUCGGACGUAGCGAAAGUGUUAAGUACAGCGCCUGGGGAGUAUGGUCGCAAGGCUGAAACUCAAAGGAAUUGACGGGGGCUCACACAAGCGGUGGAGGAUGUGGCUUAAUUCGAGGCUACGCGAAGAACCUUACCUAGGCUUAACAUGUUUAAGAAUCUCUGUGAAAGCAGAGAGUGCUCUUCGGAGAACUUUUACGUAGGUGCUGCAUGGCUGUCGUCAGCUCGUGUCGUG
rnacentral:rRNA from 1 species